rnacentral:misc_RNA from 1 species
GUGCGCAAGAGGUGGGUAAGCCGGUGGAAUGUAUAGACUCCAUCUCCGUGUACCGCCCACCCACCCCCUUCCUUGCUCGUAGAUUUUUCUCUUGUUUGCCAUUCUCCCGACACAUUCAUCUCAUCACUGCGCGUUGCCCAGAGAGUGAGCGAGCGAGCAAGAGAGGUGGUGUGUCGGGUACGUACACACGCACACACACAGAUACGUAUAUACAUAAUGCCUAUGUAAAUACCUCAUUCGCGCCUCAUCACCAUUGCUUCCUCCUUUUUGUGUGUGUGUGUGUGUGUGUGUAUGUGUGCGGGGAGGAAGGGGGGAUCGACUCACUUGCAAACACACACACACACACGACCCCUUUCUCUGCAUCCAUAUUCGUGUUGCUGUCUUUACCCUUCUUGUCCUUCUCUUUCCUCUUUCUAACUCGUUGUUCUUGCUUCACUCUCGGUCUUCUGGGUGUACGCGAGUCUGCUUGUGUAUGCGUGUGUGUGUGUGUGUGUGUGUGUGUGUGUGUUUGACGGCCACUGGAAGAAAACAGCUUGACGUGCACGCUCACCCGCACACACAGACACACACACGACAUCGUGAGUGGCUGCGCGUAAGGCCUUGCAAGAGCACACCUUUCUUCACUGUCCCCCUCCCUCCCUUCCUGAAACCCCUAUACGUGCGCACUCUCGCACGCAAUCACGCACACUUCGUAGCAGCAUGGCCGACGAUUUGGCGUCACUGCAGCAACAGUUCGGCGCCUUUCAAGAUGAGGAAGAGGUGCGCAUGGACGUGGCGGCGCGCGUCGUCGCUCAGUCCUCGCGAGAAGCGCUCGAGGACGAGGAGCGGCUCAAGAAGAGCUGGCGCGAGCUGGAAAAGGCGGAGCACGCUGUGGGGGAGCUGCAACUAGAGUUGAGCGAGGCGCAGCUGGCGGUUGCACAGGAAUCGUCCGGGUUGCUGGGUGAUGCGCAGCGCAACAAGUCAUCCGGUCCGGCGACGCCGUCACCGCGGCGGGUUUCCGACAUCCGCUUCCAGCUCAACGCAGCGGAGCGCGAGCUCAAGCGCGCUGACGCGGCGGUGCGGAAACUUCAAAAAGAGGUCGACCAACGCCAAGCUGCGCGGCUUGCCGAAGCGAAACGGCACGAGCGGGAGGAAGCAGAGGCAGAGCGCGCGGCAGCCGCGGCCCGAGCCGCAGCGCAUCCGAAGGCAGCCGACGUCACAACAGUCGUGCGGGCAAAAAGCGCCACCGGCCGACCUGUGCCUCUCGCGUCAUCGUCCUCAACUAUACUCCCACGCGCAAACACGAGCGUGAACGGGGGUGCGCUGGCGGGUGGAAGCCUUUCAGCGUCAUCGCCAACUGUCAUGACCACGACGCGCGUGCUGUAUCGAGCGCCGACUCACCUGAAGGGUAUCACGCAGAGCGACUACAGCGGUGGUGAAGUGCUGCCCUCGCUGAGCCGGGUGCAAGUGACGCGCGCGGACAUCCGCUCGAAGCAGCGCCGCUACCAGGACGACUCAGAGAUGGAGCACUACGUUGAGCGCGUCACCAAACGACAGCGACUGGAGGCGGUGGCAAAUGAGCAGCGUCGGCUGAUUGCCCUGGGCAACGACGGUGACACGCCUUCGCAGUCGUUGUCGGCCUCGAUCGAAAAGCUGGCCGAGGCGCGAGUCAAGAGGGAAGGUGAGCAAGACGGCCAUGCGCAUCAGGUGAAGCAAGAGUCUGGUGGUGAUGACGCUGCCGGCGCAGCCACGCCACCAGUCGCAGCUGUAGCCAAGGCUCGAGUCGCGAAGAAAGAGGCGGAGGGCGGCGAGCGUGCCCGUCGCCUCCCGAGGGCAGGGGUGAAGGUGGAGACAGGGGAAGAGGAAGGGGCACACGACGUGAUUGACGUGGACGCACUCAUGGAGGCCGACGACGACGCGGCAGUGGCGGCGGCGGUGAGCCGGGUCUCCACCCAGCUCACUGGCGGCUACACUCAACGUAGCGGGAAGGCCACGCCGUCUAUAUCGCUGAGCUCGCAGCAGCAACAGCAGCAGCGGGGGCGCGCCGGCUCAGCAUCGUCAGCGACCGUCUCGGAGAGCGAGGAAGUUGUAUGGGAGAUGGAGGAGGUGACGCUGCUGCCCGGUGUGCGCAUGGAUGCCGCCAUCUACAACCGCCUACUCGAUUACCAGCAAGAGGGACUACUGUGGCUCCUCACCCUGCACUCCCGCCGCACGGGCGGUAUCCUCGGCGAUGAGAUGGGCCUCGGCAAGACGAUCCAGGUGGCAGUGAUGAUCAAUGCCCUGCACCACUCCGGCAUGCUGCGCGGGCCGGUGCUGAUUGUGGCACCGAUGACGGUGCUUCGUCAGUGGUUGGCGGAGCUGCACCGCUGGGCCCCCUACGUGCGCUCCUGCGUCAUGCAUGAGAGCAGCGGCAGCGACACGACGCGUGACUCGCUGCUGCAGUCAGUUCAAGGCACGCCAGCCGUGGUCAUCACAACGUACGCGGCGAUGCGAGUGCACUGCGGUUUGCUGCAUCGCACGGGCUUCCAGUACGUCAUCCUCGACGAGGGGCACAAGAUUAGCAACCCAGAGGCUGGCGCGACGCUCGCAGCGAAGUCUUUCACGACGCCGCACCGACUGAUCUUGAGUGGCAGCCCCAUCCAAAACUCGCUGAAGGAGCUGUGGUGUUUGUUUGAUUUUGUACGCCCUGGCCUUCUCGGCACGAUGAGUCGCUUCAUCGACGAAUUCGAGACGCCGAUCGCGCUGAGCCGCAACGCGCGUGCGAGCCCGCUGUCGCUGGCAACAGCCGUUGAGUGUGCAAAAGCACUGCAGACCCACAUCGCCCCGUACCUGCUUCGCCGGCUGAAGCGCCAGGUGAACACGUCUUUGCCGCCAAAGUACGAGCGCGUGCUGCGAGUGCCGCUUACGGACAAGCAGCUCGACCAGUAUCUGCAGGUGCUGUCCUCGCCAGUGGUGCAGGGACUCUUUGCGCAGACAGCAAUGUACGGCUCGCGCAACGGUGGCCUCGACCGCGACGGGCGUGAUAGCACUGGCUCCCUGCACGUGGCGGGGCCGCGGGCAAAGAUGGCGUCUCGCCGCCACAGCAGCGGCGUGCGGCUGGAGUCGUUCCGUGUCAUGAAUCAGCUGCGGCAAAUCUGCAACCACGCCGACAUCUACGCCGUGCAGCAAGGCGCGGACGAGGAGGACCGCAUGAUGCUUGGUCGUCGUGGCGCGGCGGCGAAGCUGUCUGCUAUUUCGGCAGCACGACCUGGUCAGCACCGCUCCUUCCGCAGCAACAACCCCGUCGACCUCCUCGGCAGCGGGAAGCUGAACGCGCUGCUCAUGAUGCUGAAGGAGUGGCAGUCGUUCGGCCACCGCGUCCUCGUCUUCUCGCAGACUCGCAUGAUGCUCGAUAUUAUCGAGAACAUGUGCGAGCAGCAAGCCUACCGCUACAUCCGCAUGGAUGGUGCGACGAACAGCCACUAUCGGCAGGAGCUGAUGGACCGCUUCAAUGAAGACGUCUCCAUCUUUGUCGCCUUGCUGACGACGCGCGUCGGCGGCAUCGGCGUCAACCUCAUCGGCGCCGACCGCGUCGUCAUUUUCGACCCGGACUGGAACCCGAUCACGGACGUUCAGGCGCGUGAGAGGGCCUGGCGUAUCGGCCAGAAGAGAGAAGUGUGCGUCUACCGCCUUAUCACGAGUGGCAGCGUCGAGGAGUCGAUCCUGCGGCGGCAGCUGGCGAAGAUGUACGUGACGGACAAGGUGCUGAAGGAUCCGGAGCUGCAACGCUUCUUUGACGUGCAAGACGGCUUCAUGGAGAGCCUUCUGCUCGGUUCCGAGUACGCAAACCGCGUGCCGGUGGACAAGCGGUACUUACUGGCGGCGCACCACCUGCAUAGCGUCUCGGCCGGCGACCGCGACCGCGCGCCUGGUCGGGACAGACACGCGGCGCUGGGGGGGGAGUAUGGCAAUGCGGUUCCUGGCGUUGACGAUGAUGAUAACACCGACAGCGACGUGAGUGAAGGAAACAUUGGCGUCGCGGGAAGCAAGGGGGAGCAGCCGAGAAAGGAGCGCGACUUUGGCAUGCUGGUUCCUCUUAAGGACGAGGGCGGCAUCGACGAUGUCGGUGCUGACCCCGACGAUACGGGAGGCGCGGACGAGGACGGCAGUCCAGUUGGCAUCCCUGGCAUGGGCGACAGAAAUAAGAAGACGAGCAAGGGCAAGGAGGUGUGGCGUGAGACACAGAUGCUGCAGAAGCUGGUGGAUUGCCAGGACGUCUCUGUGGCAGGGCACGACCGCGUUGCGCACCGCCUGGCACGCAAGAAGGCAGAAGACAUGAUACGCCGCGUGUCCUCAUCGGCGCUCACGGCGGAGGCGAUGCGAGAGCAGCAGCGCCAGUAUAGCCUGUUGCAAGCUAUUGGGGAGAAGAAGGCGAAGGAGGCGGCAGACCGAGAGGAGAAGGCGCGCUACUAUCGUGAAGAGAUAGCAGCAGCAGCAGCAGCGGCGCGGAAGCGUCGGCAUGAGUAGUCCGAGAAACAACAUCAUUUUCCAGCUUUCCGCUGGUGUGUAUGAUCUCUCCACUCUCCUGCUCUCGCGUUCUGUGCCGUGCUCCUCACCUCGUGCCCCGUCACUAUUUAUAACUUGUUCUUGCCUUUGCUUGCUCGUGUACGCGGCGUGGUGGCGAGAUGUCUGUACUCCGCAAUCUCUGCGCUCGUUUCGAUUUUUUUUGGGGGGGCUCCUCUCAUGCGGCUCCUUCUGUCUUGCGGAUCAUCACCGGGAGAGGGGAUGCGCUCUUGUGGGUGUGUGUGCUUGGAGAGGAAAGAAGCGUUUAAGUGGCGUUUUCACCGGUUUCCGUGGCGAUGCGCGCGUGCUUGUGUGAGAAAGCAGAUCGCAUGGCACACCUUCAGGCUCGCCCCCUCCGGCGGCACCCCACAAGUCUCUUACGCUACUGUUCUCUGUGUGUGUAUGUGUGUGUGUGUGCCGAUCAUGCGCGUCUUUUCCCUCUUCAGCGCCCGCACAAAGGUACACCUAUUUGUGAACGUGCGCGCAAGCCGCAAGGUGAUGCACCGUCAUCACCCCUCCCCUCCUCCACCCUCCCUCACAUACACACACGAAAACGCAAAG